GAUGAAGAACGUAGCGAAAUGCGAUACGUAAUGUGAAUUGCAGAAUUCAGUGAAUCAUCGAGUCUUUGAACGCACAUUGCGCCCCCUGGUAUUCCGGGGGGCAUGCCUGUCCGAGCGUCAUUGCUGCCCUCAAGCACGGCUUGUGUGUUGGGCCUCCGUCCUCCUCCCGGGGGACGGGCCCGAAAGGCAGCGGCGGCACCGCGUCCGGUCCUCGAGCGUAUGGGGCUUCGUCACCCGCUCUUGUAGGCCCGGUCGGCGCUUGCCGACACAUCAAUCUUUUUUCCAGGUUGACCUCGGAUCAGGUAGGGAUACCCGCUGAGUUUAAGCAUAUCAAUAAGCGGAGGA
rnacentral:misc_RNA from 1 species